AGUCGCCACGGGAAUACGUAGGUCCCGAGCGUUGUCCGGAAUUAUUGGGCGUAAAGCGCGCGCAGGUGGUUUAAUAAGUCUGAUGUGAAAGCCCACGGCUCAACCGUGGAGGGUCAUUGGAAACUGUUAAACUUGAGUGCAGGAGAGAAAAGUGGAAUUCCUAGUGUAGCGGUGAAAUGCGUAGAGAUUAGGAGGAACACCAGUGGCGAAGGCGGCUUUUUGGCCUGUAACUGACACUGAGGCGCGAAAGCGUGGGGAGCAAACAGGAUUAGAGCCCCAGUAGUCCCUGUCUCUUAUACAC
rnacentral:rRNA from 1 species